rnacentral:rRNA from 1 species
AACGCGAAGAACCUUACCCAGGCUUGACAUGCAGAGGAAAGCUUUAGAAAUAGAGACCUCCGAAAGGACCGCUGCACAGGUGCUGCAUGGCUGUCGUCAGCUCGUGCCGUGAGGUGUUUGGUUAAGUCCAGCAACGAGCGCAACCCUUAUCAUUAGUUGCCAACACGUGAAGGUGGGAACUCUAAUGAGACUGCCUGGGUUAACCAGGAGGAAGGUGAGGACGACGUCAAGUCCGCAUGGCCCUUAUGUCUGGGGCUACACACGUGCUACAAUGGCCGGUACAGAAGGAAGCGAACCCGCGAGGCGAAGCAAAUCCCCAAAGCCGGCCCCAGUUCAGAUUGUAGUCUGCAACUCGACUACAUGAAGACGGAAUUGCUAGUAAUGGCAAGUCAGCAGAUUGCCGUGAAUACGUUCCCGGGCCUUGUACACACCGUACGUC